UACGAAGGGUGCAAGCGUUACUCGGAAUUACUGGGCGUAAAGCGUGCGUAGGUGGUUUGUUAAGUCUGCUGUGAAAGCCCCGGGCUCAACCUGGGAAUGGCAGUGGAUACUGGCAAGCUAGAGUGCGGUAGAGGGUAGUGGAAUUCCCGGUGUAGCGGUGAAAUGCGUAGAGAUCGGAAGGAACAUCAGUGGCGAAAGCGGCUUCCUGGACCAGCACCGACGUUCAGGCACGAAAGCGUGGGGAGCAAACAGG
rnacentral:rRNA from 1 species